CUUUGGUAGUACUUUUUGUUGUUGUUUUUUUUGUUUUGUUUUUUAAAAGUUGAUGCUAAGUAUAAUUUCGGCAUACAAAAACCUAGCCGAGUCUCUUCAUGGUAAGUUUAGCAAGGAAAAUUGUUGAGUACAAGUUCAAAUCUCGUUCAAGAAUACGUGAUUUAGGAACGCAAACUGAGGAAAUGGAAAUAUCGAUGCCAAGCAAUAUAUAGCGAUGACUAUUCAAAUAUUGCUUCGAACAAUAUAUAAAGGCGAUGUCAAGAACGCGUUCCCGUAGAUCCAGCCAGCCAUCAUCGGUGAGCCUGGAGCCGAUCCCGAGGCGGGGGACACCCACGACGGGGUGCCAAUCCAUCACAGGGCACAAUCACACGCCCGUUCACACGCUACGGACAAUUUGGAAACGCUCAUCAGCCUACAACGCACGUCUUUGGACUGGAGGACUAACACGGAGUACACGGAGGAAACCCCCGAAGCACGGCGAGAUGAUUAGCCUCCAGAUAUUUUUCGACCUUGCCCUGACCUUGACCCUGAAUCUAAUCAGCUCGUCUGCCGGUUUUCCAACAAAACAAUUAUCCGUUAUCGCUUAUACGUCACACUAACGUACAAUCUUGGACGACGGGACGGACGAACAUAAGCGCUUAGCGGCUUAAACACGACCGUGUAACUACACUUAGCAUCAGCUCCUAAAAAAAAAAAAAAAAAGCCAGAAAAAUCUUCCAUAACGGCGAAUACAAGAGCGAAAACCUGUUAAAUGUCAACACAAACUUGGUUUAAUGCUUUACAAUCACUAGCAUUGAUUACAUUUCUUCACUGGAUCUACGUUAUACUGCGUCUUGCUAUAAAAGAAAAAAAAAAAAAAAGAAGGGGAGGGGUUGCGUUGCCAGGUAAUGCGAAAGACUUCUUGUAUUCGUGUAUUUCUCUAUUGAAGAAGCAGCUUAGAAGUGCAUUAGUUUUUCAUCAGUCCCAUUUGGAAAGCAGCACAGGGACAUCUGCUCACGUUUUCAUCCCUCAGAAUAAUAAUAAUAAUAAUAAUAAUAAUAAUAAUAAUAAGCCGCAGAGGGUCAGUGAGAAUGGAGAUGUAGUAAAUAUCGUGAUCGGUGAUGUACAUCGUCACACGGGACACCGAG
ensembl:lncRNA